AAGUCGAACGAGAAAGUGGAGCAAUCCAUGAGUAAAGUGGCGUACGGGUGAGUAACACGUGGAUAAUCUGCCCUUUAGUGGGGAAUACCGUUGGGAAACCGACGACAAUACCGCAUAAGCUCGAGAGAGGAAAGCAGCAAUGCGCUGAAGGAGGAGUCCGCGGCCGAUUAGCUAGUUGGUAGGGUAAUGGCCUACCAAGGCUGUGAUCGGUAGCCGGCCUGAGAGGGCACACGGCCACACUGGCACUGAAACACGGGCCAGACUCCUACGGGAGGCAGCAGUGGGGAAUCUUGCACAAUGGGGGAAACCCUGAUGCAGCGACGCCGCGUGAGCGAUGAAGCCCUUCGGGGUGUAAAGCUCUUUCGGCAGGGAAGAUAAUGACGGUACCUGCAGAAGCAGCUGCGGCUAACUACGUGCCAGCAGCCGCGGUAAUACGUAGGCAGCAAGCGUUGUUCGGAGUUACUGGGCGUAAAGGGUGCGUAGGCGGCUCUAUAAGUAUGGUGUGAAAUCUCCCGGCUUAACUGGGAGGGUGCGCUAUAGACUGUGGGGCUAGAGUGUGGGAGAGGAAAGUGGAAUUCCUGGUGUAGCGGUGAAAUGCGUAGAUAUCAGGAGGAACACCGGUGGUGUAAACGGCUUUCUGGACCAUAACUGACGCUGAGGCACGAAAGCGUGGGUAGCAAACAGGAUUAGAUACCCUGGUAGUCCACGCCCUAAACGAUGCAUAUUUGGUGUGGGUCAUUCAGUUGAUCCGUGCCGGAGCUAACGCGUUAAAUAU
rnacentral:rRNA from 1 species